GAUUCACCUGACAUGCACUUUUCAGAGGAAUGAGGUCUGACAAGGUGAGGGCUAAGCCUUUGUGGCUUAGGCUCAAUAAUUCUCUUGCCCUUAGAUCAUUAACUGCUCUGAUCAAGUAUUUAAAACAUCAGCCAUACUUCCAUGCCUGGUAUGCUACAUUUCUCUGCCUAGAUUUUUUUAAGCCACAUUUCUCCAAGGAUUUUCAGGAAAAAAAGCCUCUUGAUUAGCUUGUACCUGCUGCCUGCUCUUGCUUCCUGCUAUCCCUGAUUGCCUCUCUGCACCUUCCUGACCAAGAUAGCUCACCUGGCCCCAGCCCCGUCCACCCCGGCUCUGACUCUGGCUCUGACUCCUAACCUCCAGCCAUCUCACUCACCUGGCCCAGCCCCAGCCCGGCCCCAGCAACUCUGGCCUCUGACCCAGAUCGCUGCUGGUAGCUGCCCCAAUUUCUUCAGGACCACAAACCAACUGUGGAUCAUGGCCAGGCAUGAAGAGGAAAUGGAUCUCAUUUUUGAAUUUUAGGUUAAGAAACAUGAUACCUCUCCAAAUCCAGAAACUGAACUGUUUGGAGAAGACACCAUGAGGAUGCCUCCAGACCACAAACUGCAUGAAAAGAUCAAGGAUGAACUUUGGGGCAGUGGUCAGGAUGCUGCUUAGCCAAGUAGGAGAAGAGCUACUCACCAGAAUGGCUUAGAACUCAGAGGCAAACUUGCCCUGCCAAUGAAAUCUUCUCUGAAAGAGUAGAGAAAAUGCUUCUCUCAGCAGGAAAUUUAGAGCAUCAAAAUUCCGAACUUCACUCUCAUGGCUCUAAGAGGAAAUUUCCAGUCCAUCUCCAAACAGUCCUGGAAAACAGGGGCUCUUGAGCAAACUUCAGUUAAGUCAGGCUCUUUGUACAGCAUCUCUUGCAGUGGGAAAACUUCAUCAAGAGUUUCCAUGUGGCUGGGAAAUCAGUGUAUUUGGUCACCAGGUGGCACUGUGCCUGCAGAAGUUGGGCUGGUGUCCAAGACUUUUCAAUGACCUUUCCAAGUAUGCAUCACUUUCUACUUUCGGUAUUGAGUAGAAUAGAAGCAUCAUAUUUGUUGAUUAAUAAAUACUUUAAAAAUUAAA